AAUAAAGUGGCCAGUGAGUGUAUAUUUUAAUGAAAUUUUAAAAGUGUGCAAUUCUUCCUGAGGCCACACACUGGCCUCCAUACCUGCCAGCCACCUGAGGUGAUCCCUCCCCCCUUUAAACUGACAUCUUUGAGAAAAAUGACAGGUGUUUAGGAGUCACCUGACCUACGCGCUCACUCAGCUCUUCCUCUGCUGCUCGACAGCAGCCUCCUCACUCACAUCCUCCUCGCGGAUCAUAACAAUCAGGUGUAAUGGAAGCUCCGGCACCCAGUGAGCUGUAAAUAGACACCGCUGUGCAGGCACACAACUUUAACCCAACUUUCCCAGCAGGCAUUGCUGCAGUGGACUCCCACCUUUCUCUCUCGCACUGCCACCUAAAUCACAGUUUUCAGCAGUAAGUUUCCUGCCAGAGCUGCCUACCAAGUCGCUGCUCUCCCCAGAGGUGGGCUGGUGGAAAUCGAGGCGAUCGCUGUUCUCGGUCCUCUCUCCGACUCCUGACUAGCCGGCCGCAUAACUAACAAGCUGUAGCGCCACCAAGUGUCAUUAUAGAUUCACUGUGGAAGCCUGAUUGUAUUUCCAGAGAACACCUGAAGAGCCACAUUGAAUUUCAACAUAGUCUUUUUCAGUGUUUCAAGAUUUAAAUUUCCAACAGAGCAACAUUCAGUUGUUAAUACCUCACAGCCUGCUCAUUAAACGGAGAGUAGGGAUACAGUAGGACUGGACACAACAUCAAGCCUCUUGGCUUCUGGUUUGAUAACUUCACUCAUUUAAAAAAAAGGAAAAAUGCUGUAACACAUCAGUGUGACAUGUUUGCUUUCAUCCUGCAUCAAAUUAAAACACAGAGAAUAUGUGUACUGGGUUUUAUUUUAAGGUAUUACUAAUUACAGAUUUUUGGGACUACUAAAAAUCACGACACAUCAGGAAAAAAAAUUGAUCUUGUAAGGGACAUGAAGCGAUGUCACUGAUAUUGACACUAUUGAUGUGACGCUAUACCUUGUUUAUGGUAAUACCUGAACUGCCAUGAAGUUACGUAAAUGCUAUGCUUUAGAUUACAGCCAGGAGUGUGGCAGAGACAUAAAAUCAACCUUUGGACUAAGUAGAUCAGUUAUGGAGGAGAAGUUUUUGCAGAAGUUCCUGUAACAACCUACCAUUCCCAGGAAUCUACGCAGUUCACAUCUUGUUUUAGGUGCGGGAUAUUCAUUAAUCGCCACCACUUUGGCGCUAAGGGGCCGCACCUGACCACGUCCAACUUCCCUGCUCAAGUAUGUUACAGUGGCCUUGGCAAAUUCACACUUUGCCAGGUUGCGUGUCAGAGCUGCUUAGGCCAAACGGUGAAAUACUUGGCGUAGGGUUUGCAAAUGAUCUUGCAACGUUUCAGUGUAAACCACCAGAUCAUCCAGAUAGGCACUGUAGUCGGAAAGGCCACUCAGAACUUUAUUUAUCAGCCUCUGAAAGGUAGCAGGUGCGUUACACAUCCCAAAAUCAUGAUCUUUUGAUUGAUAAACUAAAAUCUUAUGGAUUUUCACCAGCUGCUCUGUGCUGGAUGAAAAGUUACUUGUCUGGAAGAAGGCAAAAGGUUUAUUAUAAUGGC
ensembl:lncRNA